UCUCCGUUGGUGAACCAGCGGAGGGAUCAUUAUCGAGUUUAUAACUCCCAAACCCUAUGUGAACUUACCACUUGUUGCUUCGGCGCGCGCUUCGGUGCCGCCGAGGACACUUAAACUCUUUGUUUUUAUAAGCAUUUCUGAGUGGCCGAAAGGCAAAAUACAAAUGAAUCAAAACUUUCAACAACGGAUCUCUUGGUUCUGGCAUUGAUGAAGAACGCAGC
rnacentral:misc_RNA from 1 species